GAGGGAUCAUUACACAAAUAUGAAGGCGGGCUGGAACCUCUCGGGGUUACAGCCUUGCUGAAUUAUUCACCCUUGUCUUUUGCGUACUUCUUGUUUCCUUGGUGGGUUCGCCCACCACUAGGACAAACAUAAACCUUUUGUAAUUGCAAUCAGCGUCAGUAACAAAUUAAUAAUUACAACUUUCAACAACGGAUCUCUUGGUUCUGGCAUCGAUGAAGAACGCAGCGAAAUGCGAUAAGUAGUGUGAAUUGCAGAAUUCAGUGAAUCAUCGAAUCUUUGAACGCACAUUGCGCCCUUUGGUAUUCCAAAGGGCAUGCCUGUUCGAGCGUCAUUUGUACCCUCAAGCUUUGCUUGGUGUUGGGCGUCUUGUCUCUAGCUUUGCUGGAGACUCGCCUUAAAGUAAUUGGCAGCCGGCCUACUGGUUUCGGAGCGCAGCACAAGUCGCACUCUCUAUCAGCAAAGGUCUAGCAUCCAUUAAGCCUUUUUUUUCAACUUUUGACCUCGGAUCAGGUAGGGAUACCCGCUGAACUUAA
rnacentral:rRNA from 2 species